GUCGGCGUGGCGGAACCGGUAGACGCGCUGGACUUAGGAUCCAGUGGGGCAACCCGUGGAGGUUCGAGUCCUCUCGCCGACACCA
rnacentral:tRNA from 1 species